rnacentral:rRNA from 1 species
GUCGUGCACGCCCGGAGUGCUCUCUCACAUCCAUCUCACCCCUUUGUGCAUCAUCGCGUGGGGCCCUCYCCUUUGGCUUGUUCCGGAAGGGGGGGGGUUCACGUUUUUACACGAACAACCCAUUAAUGCAUGUGUAGAAUGUCUUACUUUUUGCGGUCACACGCAAUCAAUACAACUUUCAACAACGGAUCUCUUGGCUCUCGCAUCGAUGAAGAACGCAGCGAAAUGCGAUACGUAAUGUGAAUUGCAGAAUUCAGUGAAUCAUCGAAUCUUUGAACGCACCUUGCGCCCCUUGGUAUUCCGAGGGGUGCACCCGUUUGAGUGUCGUGAACACCCUCAACCUUCUUGGUUUAUCGACCGGGAAGGCUUGGACUUUGGAGGUUUUUGUUGCUGGCCUCGUUUGAAGCCAGCUCCUCCUAAACGAAUUAGUGGGGUCCGCCGUGCCGACCCUCGACGUGAUAAGUACGCUUCUACGUCUUGGGGUUUCGCACUGUCGCCUGCUUCCAACCGUCUUCGAAUGAAGACAAUCUUAUAGACCUUGACCUCAAAUCGGGUGAG